rnacentral:rRNA from 1 species
UCCCGUUGAUCCUGCGGGAGAUUGCUGCUAUUGGGAUUCGACUAAGCCAUGCAAGUCAGGUAGCAAUACCGGCGGAAUGCUGAGUAACACGUCGAUAAUCUGCCCUAAGGUACGGGAUAACCUCGGGAAACUGAGGGUAAAACCGUAUAUGAGAAGGGUUAUGGAAAAAACUUCUCGAAAAAGUAAUGCCUUAGGAUGAGUCGGCGACUGAUUAGGCUGUUGGUGGGGUAAUGGCCCACCAAACCUAUGAUCAGUAGGGGCCCUGAAAGGGGAAGCCUCCAGAAGGACACUGAGGUACUGGUCCUAGCCCUACGGGGUGCAGCAGGCGCGAAAACUUUACACUACACGAAAGUGUGAUAAGGGAAUCCCAAGUGCUUAUACAUUAGUAUAGGCUUUUGCCAAGUGUAAAUAACUUGGCGAAUAAGUGGUGGGUAAGACGGGUGCCAGCAGCCGCGGUAACACCCGCGCCACGAGUGGUGAUCAGUAUUAUUGGGCCUAAAGCGUCCGUAGCCGGCUUUGCAAAUCUUUUGUGAAAUCGUUGCGCUCAACGUAACGGCGUGCAAGAGACACUACAAAGCUAGAAACCAGGAGGGGCAAGAGGUAUUCUGUGGGGAGCGGUAAAAUGCUAUAAUCCACAGAGGACCACCGAUGGCGAAGGCAUCUUGCCAGAAUGGAUUUGACGGUGAGGGACGAAAGCCAGGGGAGCAAACCGGAUUAGAUACCCGAGUAGUCCUGGCUGUAAACGCUGCGAGCAAGGUGUUGCGCUUUCCUCGAGAAAGCGCAGUAUCGAAGAGAAGUCGUUAAGCUCGCCGCCUGGGAAGUAUGGUCGCAAGGCUGAAACUUAAAGGAAUUGGCGGGGGAGCACUACAAGGGGCGCGGCGUGCGGUUUAAUCUAACUCAACGCAGAGAAUCUCACUAGCGGCGACGGCAGGAUGAAGGUCGGGUUGAAGACUCUACCUAACGAGCCGAGAGGUAGUGCAUGGCCGCCGUCAGCUCGUGCCGUAAGGUGUCCAGUUAAGUCUGGUAACGAGCGAGACCUGCGCACACAAUUGCUACCGGGGGAAUUUCCUGACCGAGCACCUUGUGUGGACUGCCCUGGAAACAGGGAGGAAGGUGCAGGCUACGGUAGGUCUGUAUGCUCCGAAUCUGCUAGGCUACACGCGCGCAACAAUGGUAUGGACAAUGGGAUGCAACUCCGUAAGGAGAAGCUAAACCUCGAAACCCUAUCUCAGUCUAAAUUGAGGGUUGUAACUCACCCUCAUGACAUCGGAAUCCCUAGUAAUCAGGUUUUAUCACAGCCUGGUGAACAUGUCCCUGCUCCUUGCACACACCGCCCGUCAAGCCAAUCGAGCAGGGUUUCAGUGAGCCUUACUUUUCUUGAGUAAGCCGAACUGGAGCUCAGUGAGAUGGGCUAAGUCGUCACAAGGUA